rnacentral:lncRNA from 1 species
GGAGUUUCUACUUGCGCAGAGCAGUGAGCCCGACACGGAGGUCAUGGUAAGUUCAGAGCAGCAUGUCCGCAGCGGAAUUGGAAAAACAAAAACAAAAACAAAACCCCGAAACGUUUGAGUCAUUCUGGGAGCUGUGGUCUGGGGCUCACGCCGCCGCCGGAGUCCUGUCGAAGUUCUCAAUGCGCGAGAACUGGGAAUGCCUAUGCCUUGUUUAAACUGGAUGGCCGGCAGGGAGGGCCAGAACCAGCGGUCAGUUGGGGUCCUAGCAGCAGCGUGACCAAGACAUACACUUAUUCUUGCAAACUGAGAUUUGAGCUCAUCCCUGGACUUCGCCCGACCUCUGCUGCCCGGGUUGCCCUUAAGGGCUUCCCACCAGAGUGCGCAGGGGCAAGAACCAACCGUUCGCGUUCGCGACUGCCUGGACUGAUAGUGUCCUUACCUCCUGGCUUGGCACCUUUGGGCACUCUGCUGCCAUGCAGAUGUCCGAUCGGAGCCCAGGGCACUAAGAAGCGACAGCUGAAAGAAACCUACGAGGGGCUCCCACACAGCGACAAAGCCACUGGAGGUUUCUGGUGA